AGUACUGCAGGCUACUUCUGCUGACUGCUGACUGCCAGCAGUUUGGCAGUUUGAGACUCACCAGCUCAAGUUACUACUGAUAUCCCACUGCAACAUACCCACUGGCCUGAUUAUCUCCUGAUCUUCCAGAACUGAUGGUGGACUACAACCUGGAUCUCCCCACAUCUAGUCCAGGGUGUGCCAGUACACCACACUACACAAUGUAACCCCACCCUGUCCCACUUAAGGAAAUAAUUGGCUUCGGAGCCUCUGUUGAGUUCUCAAAAACCAUUAAGAGACGUGCUGCUUCUGAACAGCAGUUUGGGCCAAAUCGUCCAUGUAACAAUGCUUAGCUUGAAUACACUGCAAAGCAUUACUGCAAGGGAAAUCAAACAUCGUUCUACAUUUCAUAAAAUUUUGAACAUUCAUCAGAAUGAAGUUGGUCCAAAGAAGUAAGAUUACAAGAGGCUGCAUUUACACAAGGGGGGAAAAAAGAACUACAAGAUUAUUAGACUGUGGUUAUUCUAUGAGGCAAGUUUUUCAUGGACAAUAAAGUCAAAAUUACAUCCAU